UCUUCAGUGCCCUUUUCCCUGUUCUCAUUUAUCACGAAUUCAAAAUUCUUGCUUUUAUGUGUAUUGUAUGUGUAAGUUGUGCUUGCUGUGUCUUGAAUAUGGAACUUGAUAUCAAAACCUGUAUAUUUAAUUUCGUGGUUACUUGGUCCUUAUGGUAUGGUGAUAUCAAAAUUUUGGUGUUGGAUAAUUUCUUGCAUUCAUAGUUUGGAGGAUUUUAUGUUGCAUUUUUAUACGUAAAUGGGGGUGUUAUCUGUGUACAUAAACGCAGCCCAAAUAGAUCAAUGUGUCUAUGGUGUUGCUUGAAUAUAACAUUGAAUCUGUUAUCUGCUUAGGGGUCUUUAAUUGAACGGGGGAUGAAAAAGUUGUGUGUUUCUGGUUUUGUUUUGAUUGUAUGUUGUGCCUGUUGUGUCUUGAAUUUCGCACAUGGUUGUUUUUUCAAUGGGGUAUUAUAGUGGGGCGUUAUCAAUUAACUUGGCGGGAGGCAAUCCAAAGGGAAAAUUUGAUGAGUUUCUCCAAUAUCGAAAUCUCACGUGAAAUAAUUGUAUUUAUAUUUGGCGGUUUAAUUCUUAAAAUAUAAGCAUGUGCAGCUUAUGUGCAACCCAUUUUUUUUUCUUCUUGUUUACUCUUCUCUUAUGGCAGGAUAACAAGGAGCUUGCACCCUUCUUGUCCUAGAGAUGUUGGCCAUCUGAGAAUGCACUACCAAAGUUGCUGGUCGGUGACCGAGCCAGCCAGAAUGACAAUCAGACCCCAACUAGGAGAAGAGUGCGGAAGCCAAAUUCAUUGAUGAAGCCAGAGGAAGGGUAUGAUCUUACUUGGAUCAGUGUUGAACGAAAAUCCGAUAAAACUCCCUGCCAAGGGAAAGCAAGCAAGAAAAGAACUGGUCAUCCUCCAAAACAUUCUGUUUCCAUGGGAUCAGAUUUCUCAUCAGGUUCUAUGAAGGUAGUAUCACUUCUUAAGACAAUUCUGAAAAUAAGCACAAGUUCAAUUAUGAUGAUGAACGUGUAGAAGACAUGGAUCUUUCAGUAGAACGCUCGAAACCCAUCAGAGAUGAUGAUGAUGAACAAAAGACUUUGGCAGUUGUUGAUGGGUAAGCUACAUGUUAAUCACGUCGUGCAUGUUUAUAUAUGACAUCUGAUUUUCUUCUCAGUUCUUCAUAUGCACUUGAUGCUAUUUUUUAAAUGAAAAUGUGUAACUUGUUGGUGUGCAAAGUUAUAUCCCCUAAUAAAUAGGUAUCACUAUCCAAGAAGAAAGUCCGGUUUUAGGGUGUACAGAUCUGCGCUUAAAUACUGAAGAGAGUGUGCAAACCAGGGGGAGAAGUUGCAGCUAGCAGAGACAAGCCAAGGAGGAUGAUUUUUAUGCUGUUGGUUGGCAGUGUUCUGUUAGCUUGGGUAUAUGUUAUUUUUAUAAAUGUAUAUAGGCACAAACAUGGAAGAAAUAAUGAAUUUUUAGAUGAUGGUGCUGCUUCUCCUGCCCGUUUUACUGAGCAACAUUUAAUCAAACAACUUAGCUUGUUGAUGCCGGGAAUGAGCUUCAAAAAUGCAUUUGGAAAUAUACUUCAAGUGAGGCAACCUUUCUCCGGCCGUUUGGUUGUGUGCAUCUACUGUGCGCUCAAAGUGCAACUUUGCAUUAUUAUUGAUAUAUUCUUGUCUCA